ncrna:Vibrio cholerae RC385 Moco (molybdenum cofactor) riboswitch
GCUUGGCCUUAACUCCGAGCUUACCGCGCUAAGUUUAAACCUUUAAAUAUGCGUUGUAAGCCAGUGACCGCUUGUCACAAGGGCAGAAUUGGAAAUAAUUUUGCCUCCCGUAUUUGGAAAGGUGUUCUGUGGCGCAACAA